GAUGAACGCUGGCGGCGUGCCUAAUACAUGCAAGUAGAACGCUGAAGGAGGAGCUUGCUCUUCUGGAUGAGUUGCGAACGGGUGAGUAACGCGUAGGUAACCUGCCUGGUAGCGGGGGAUAACUAUUGGAAACGAUAGCUAAUACCGCAUGACAACAGUUAUUGCAUGAUAACUGUUUAAAAGGGGCAACUGCUCCACUACCAGAUGGACCUGCGUUGUAUUAGCUAGUUGGUGAGGUAACGGCUCACCAAGGCGACGAUACAUAGCCGGCCUGAGAGGGUGAUCGGCCACACUGGGACUGGGACACGGCCCAGGCUCCUACGGGAGGCAGCAGUAGGGGAUCUUCGGCAAUGGACGGAAGUCUGACCGAGCAACGACGCGUGAGUGAAGGAGGUUUUCGGAUCGUAAAGCUCUGUUGUAAGGGAAGAACGAGUGUGAGAGUGGAAAGUUCACGCUGUGACGGUAUCUUACCAGAAAGGGACGGCUAACUACGUG
rnacentral:rRNA from 1 species